AGAAAAAUUCAGUUCAGAUUUCGGUUUUUCCGACUGUUUCAGGUAAGUUUAUACCUCAUAAGGAUAUCAGUUUGUCUCCGGUGAGUAAAUCCUCUCUCGUACUGUCCCACGCGCCGGUGAAUAUGGAUCGUUCGUGUUUAGGUUAUCUGAAAUGGGACGGGAAGACGGAGGCGGAGUUGGUGGAGGAGUUGAGGUUGGAUUCGGAGUUCGUCGUUGAAUCUGAGCCGUUGGAUCAAUUAGGAAGAGUGAAGAGUAGUAAGUUUUGUCUGUUCUUCUACGAAGCUGAAUCGACGUUGGAUUUGACUGAAGCAAUGGCGGCGGGAUGUGUUCCGGUAGUGAUUGUUGACCGUCCGGUUCAGGAUUUUCCGUUGAUGGACGUAUUGAGGUGGUCGGAAAUGGCACUGUUGAUCGGAAACCGCCGUGGAGGUCAGGGACUGAAGGCGGUCCUGAGCGGUGUGCCGGAGGAUAGAUAUCAGCGGAUGAGGGGAUUGUGUGUAGCGGCGGCUCACCAUAUGGUGUGGAACGCGGAACCUCAGGCGUACGAUGCUUUUCAUAUGGUGAUGUAUCAGCUGUGGAUGAGACGGCAUACGAUUAGAUACACUCGGAGGGAAGAAUUUUAGUGUUGAAAAUUCAAUUUCUUUUGCUUGUAGAAUUAGUAUAUGAUUAAUAAUACUAUAAUCCUAAUUAACGGGUCAAUAAAUUGUAUGCUGCCUUUAUAAUGAUUGUAAUUUGUUU
rnacentral:misc_RNA from 1 species